rnacentral:lncRNA from 1 species
UAAAAUUGCCAGCAUCACUACUUUUGCACUUUGGGGCCAUUAUAAAGUAAAAUAAGGAUUACUUGAAUGCAAGCACACAAUACUGCUACAGUCGAUCUGAUAACCAAGAAGGCUGCUAAGUGACUAGUGGGCAGGUAGCAUAUACAGCAUGGAUAAAGGGAUGAGUAAUGUCUGGAUGGAACCAAGCAGGGUGUCACAAAAUGGCUUAGUCCUACUCAGAACAGUGCACAUUUAAAAUGUAUGAAAUGUUUAUUCCUGGAAAUUUCCAUUCAAUACUUUCAGGCUGCAGUGGAUCCCAGGGCACUGAAACUGAGGAACGUGAAGCCACAGAUAAGGUGAAGAUGAGGAGGUGCAGGGAGAUAGUGAUAUGCCCUGAGGUACUGGGGGUAAAAACCAAGCAGAAACCAGGAGCAUCAAAGUUCUGGGAAUCAGCUUUACUCCAUCUCUAUCAACACCUGCUCUGGAGAACACAGGAUCUUAACUUACAACUCUGCCUCAGCGUCCCAGAGUGCUGGGAUUAUAAUUAUGGGCCACCAUGCCUGGGUCACAUUCACUCUUUUAAAGCGUGCAGUUGGAUGGGUUGUGAAAGACACGUGUGCAGUAUCUCCACCUCUGCAAUCAAGAUGUGCAUUUCCAUUCACCACAGAAAGUUGCUUUGUGCCCCUUGGUGGAUUCCAUCUCCUAUCCCAGCUCCUGGCAUCCACUGAUGUGGUUUGGCCUUUUUCAGAUGCCAUUAAAUAGAAUCACCCAAUACUGAACCUUUUGGGGUCUUCUUCUUUCAUUUAGCAGAAUGCUUUUGAAAUUUGUGUUUUUGUGUAUAUCAGCUGUUCGUUUCUUUUCAUUGCCAAGUAGUAUUCCAAUGUCUGGAAUGCUACUAGAAUGGAAUUUGUCCAUU